rnacentral:rRNA from 1 species
UACGUAGGGUGCGAGCGUUAAUCGGAAUUACUGGGCGUAAAGCGUGCGCAGGCGGUUUUGUAAGCCAGACGUGAAAUCCCUCGGCUUAACCGGGGAACUGCGUCUGAUACUGGAUGGCUUGAGUUUGGGAGAGGGAUGCGGAAUUCCAGGUGUAGCGGUGAAAUGCGUAGAUAUCUGGAGGAACACCGGUGGCGAAGGCGGCAUCCUGGACCAACACUGACGCUGAGUGAGCGAAAGCCAGGGGAGCAAACGGG